UCGUGUGUACAGUCUAAUUUUUUAUCACACUUUAAGUACAUUUUUGUUACAACUCUUAUUUUUUUACUUCUACCUAGUAUGGACUGAUUACUUAGCUUUUAAUAGAAGAGCUGGUUACAAAAAAAGUCGGAGCUCCAAGAAGAAAAUAUGCUUUUUCAAAACAAAACUUAGUCAUUCUGUUCAAUUUCUUUUCUCCCUACAAGAGGGCCAUUACAAUACCAUACUAAUCUCUAGGAGGCAUUUCCAGCCUCUAGACCAGGGGAGCAGAUCUCUUUUAAGCAGCACUGUAGGAAUGUCUAACAGGGCAAAUAAUUCCCACCUCCUGAGAUUGUGAGGAUUAAAUACAUGAGGUUAUGAAAAAAGCUAGCAAGAAUUUAAAUUGUGUGAUUGGAAAGUUAGUAAACAGGACCCAGGAGUUCAGCUACCUAGUUUCUGCAUCCCAGUUAGUCUUAUAUAUGAAUUGAGGAAUUAAUAAAGAUCUUGUAAUAAUAAUUUUUCAUACUUUCUCAGUACCAGGUAUAGUUAUAAACCCAGUAGUGUGUGACCUUGACAAUAUAUGAGGUAGACACUAUUGGCAUCAUCUCCAUUUUAUAGAAGGUGCAAAUGACACCCAGACAGGUUGCUAAGUAACUAGCUUAAGGCCACAGCUGUAAGUGGCAAAACCAGACUUCAAACCCAGCAAUCUGACUCCACUACUGUGUUCUUCGCCAUGAGUCCACCCUGCCUUUUUCAGGGACUUGACAUCAUGAAUGUUUCAAGGCUAAUCUCAGUCCCUAAUAGGAGGCAGCCUAUUGCUGAUUCUCUCUCAUCAUUGAUGUUUCUCUCUCUCGCCCUCUUCCUUGCUCUCUGAAAUCAAUAAAAAUAUAUUUUAAAAAAUAAAGAAGCAGCAGUCACUUUAAAAAAAUAGGCAACUGUGUCAUUGAUUCAAGUCAUAAAAACAGUAAGACCCUUUUCUGUUUCUUUUUCUCUCCCUUCUCCAAUCGUUUGCCCACCCUAAUUCUACUUCCUCCUCCAAGAUCUUAGUAAGGAUUUCUUCCUGAAGCUCUUUGGUUGAUCAAUAACAGAAGAAGGAUAAGAGAAGGGGAGCAUGCCCCUCUCCCUAAGAGUAGCGAUUAGAGGCAUGGCAAACUGUUCCCCGUACAAUACUGUCGACUCAUCACCCUUUUUAGAACAAACAGCAGCUGCAGAUGAAUUCACAUAGUACUCAAGAGUUCAGCCUGUGCACACAGGCCACUCAAUAUCACCUGUACACCAACAGACACGUUCUUCAGUAUGAAUACUCCUCAGUAGACCUUACGGUGUCUUCAGUUCUUUUCUGGAAAAUAGAAAUAGAGAAAGUCCAAAAUAGAGACCUGCUUACCUACAUUUUGCGCAGAUUUGCCUACAUUCUUGGGUAUCAGGGAUUAGCUGCAUUAUCACUAGAUAGGUAAGAGUGAUUUUAACAUGCUCGAUUUUCAUACCAAUCGCUAUCUUUCCUUGACACCUGUAAACAUGACUCUAAUCUUCACGUCAAUUCAACAGUAUAGAUUCUAUUUCCUUCCUUUUUUUCAAAUAUAUUUUUAUUGAUUCCUUCCUUUAACAGAUGACAAAACUGAGGUUCAGAGAGGUUAAUUUAUUUAUCCAAGACCACACAA